GCAGUACACGAGAUCCCUAGAGCCUGGCACAAGCCCAGAUCCCAUCCUUUCAGCCCUAGAGAGCCCAGAAACCGCAUGCAGAGCCCUGGAGAGCCUAGCACCCACCCAUAGAGCCCU